rnacentral:rRNA from 1 species
CCUACGGGGGGCAGCAGUGAGGAAUAUUGGUCAAUGGCCGGAAGGCUGAACCAGCCAUGCCGCGUGAAGGUCAGUGCCCUAUGGGCGUUAAACUUCUUUUGUGCGGGAGCAAUAAUGGUCACGUGUGGCCAGACGAGAGUACCGUACGAAUAAGCAUCGGCUAACUCCGUGCCAGCAGCCGCGGUAAUACGGGGGAUGCAGGCGUUUUCCGGAUUUAUUGGGUUUAAAGGGUGCGUAGGCGGGGAGGUAAGUUAGCGGGGAAAUGCCCCCGCUCAACGGGGUGAAGUGCCAUUGAUACUGGCUUGCUGGAAUGCGGAUGCCGUGGGAGGAAUGUGUGGUGUAGCGGUGAAAUGCAUAGAUAUCACACAGAACACCGAUUGCGAAGGCAUCUCACGAAUCCGCGAUUGACGCUGAUGCACGAAAGCGUGGGUAUCAAACAGGAUUAGAUACCCCUGUAGUC